GGCUUAAGGUAAUACAGUCUUUCAAAUUAGUCUUUUUUUUAUUAAGGAUUUAAGUUCGACAUUGUAUUAUUUUACAAUCCUAUCCAAGUUUCGACUAUUUUGCAGUUAAAGCGAUCAUGGACAGAAGAUAUGAGAUUACUUUUUUGUCAUCAACGACUAACGUUCCUUAAUUUUAUCGCGUAAAGAUCUGAAUGCACUUUCUGAUUCAGUGUGGAAAUAGACUUUUAUGUUUUAUGAUGACUAUAAUAUUUUAUGAUGACAGGAUCCCAGGUGUUGAUUAAUUACUGAUCAUCUUUUCCAUUAAAAUUAGAUUUUUUAAAUUUCUACAGCCUCCCUUGAUUUUUUACCUUGAUACGUUCACAAUAUUUACUUCGACGCCGGACUAUUUUUAAAAUUCGAGAUUUGUUCCUUGACAAUCCACCGAGAACUGUUUAACCUACCUACAGUUUAGCUGCAUCUUGCUUAUGGUUCUUUUCAACAUUUGGAUUCCGCGAAUAUAAAAAAGAAAUUAAAAGAAUAGAACAAUAUACAGAGGAGUCAUUGCAGAGGUUGAUAUGUUCAGGCUGCUGGUUACCCUAAUGGCUGGAAUUUUUUCAUCGUUUUUGUAGGUUUCGUUUUUACAUUGGAAAAUAUCACUGACUGGGACAUAAUGAACAUGUUUAAUGCUUAAGAUAGUCAAAACUUUGUUACUGGAACCAUUUUUUAUUAAUUUAUAGUUGUAAAGUUGUAAUUAACAGUUGUAACUUAAAUGUAUUCCAUUUAUAUUUCUUUUGCAGUUUCAUGAAUGAAAUAAAAUUAAAGGCCAGUAAUAAAUAAUAAAAUUGAUUUUCUUAAUUUAUCUUUAUGGUUCUUUAUGUGCAUUUAUUCUGAACUUUUGCUUUUAUUUCAAUAAAAAGAAAAAAAAGUGAGUACUUUACGUACAUAAUAUAAAUAAAUCUAUG